rnacentral:lncRNA from 1 species
GGUGGGGUUCCCGAAGUCCAGGUGAUUGACAAACCCAUUUGAAUUGACUCUUAGGAGAGAGGACCCUGGUGUGUUCUUUACCAGAAACCUCCAGCUCUCUGUUGACUUUAGAAGGCACUCACAAGGGCGUGUCUCCACCCAGGGCCACGCACCAUGACUCAGACCCUAUCCCUUUGACCAGUAAAUAGAGUCCGGCAGUUUCAGUUCCUGGCUUUAAGAUCGUGGGUCCAAGCUCAAUGACCUUUCAGGCCCUCAAACACCUACCUAGCUCCCUGAGUGCUUGUUCCUAGAGUUUAUACAGUUAGAGAUGAAAGCAACGCUGGCCCAAAAGGAUUAGAGAAUAGGAAAGCGCCCUGGGCCUUGUUCUGUAAACAUUGCUGCGCAGCUCUCUGGCUAUUGUAUGCCCACAGGGUUUUGUAAUUCCACGGUAGUUACUUGGUUUAGAGCGUGUUAAAUAAGUCUGAAAGCAAAACAAAAACCUUUGAAAAUGCUGUAACGGAACAGCAAGCUGUCGAGUGAAGAUAAAGGUGAGGACAGUCCCUUCUUUACCACCAAGAAAGUUACUUUGGCAAAGGCCAGCAAAGAAGAUGCUGAUAUCAGAAGCUUUCACCUUGAGCCGUCCUAAGGAGUUCUCAGUCGUGCAAAACACCAUGUCCUUGGGCCUCAUGUCUAUGGAGGUUUAGGUGUAGGACCCACCAGGGUACCAAUCUACAGAUGCCCAAGUUCCUGUCUAAAAUGCUAUAGCAUUUGUAUGUAAGCAUAACUCCCCUUAUGCCUCUUCAUCUCUAGGUUAUUUAUACCCAAUAUAUCUAUAUCUAUAGAGCAUAGUCAAUGCUCUAUAGAUAGUUGCUAUACUCUAUUGUUUAGGGAAUAAUGAUAAGGAAGGGUCUGGAUGCGUUCAAUAUGGACACAACCAUAGUAGGCCUAACUGGUUUUGAUGGACAGUGUAACCAGCCGUGAAUUAAAACCUGAGAAACAGGCAGACCCAGGGACCAAUUGUAGCAAUGCUUCGCAUGUGUGGAGCCCUUGCUCCUUGCCAUUGUUGGAAGGGCUAAAGUGUGUGUUAAUUCAUUGAUGUCCCCCUCACUGUGACGUAGGCAUGUUAUCAUUCCUGUUUUACCAUAAGGGCUCUCCAUCUUGUGACUUGCUGUGUCGAAUAGCUAGUGAGUGAGAGGCCAGGAUGCGGAGUCACAUGUUGUCAGCUUUAAGUCUGGAUUGUCCCUGGCUCCUGACUUUGUACAGCAGUUUUCUGGUAAUAUUAUCCAUAGUCAGAGAAAACAGGAAAUGACUAAACUGCACCAAAAUUGAGACAUAGUUUGUUUUUUUAAAAUUGUGGUACACUAAUAUAAACUAGUGAUUUGAAAUAAUGAUGUGAAUCUUGUUACUGACUUAAAAAGACAAAUUGUGAAACAAAUACUACAGAGUAGUUUAUAUAAAAAAGAAACCCAUUUCAUAUAAUCAAACUGUGAAACAUAUAAUAAUAAAUAAUAUGUACCCUCAAGAUUCUCUUUCUUGUAAGGUUGCCUGUAAGUUAGUAAUCAUGGCUACUUUGUAAUAGUGUAUUCCUGGCAACUUUGGAAAAUUAUUUUAUUAUAGAAAAUGUAAACUUCUAGUACAUAAGUAAAUUUAAUUAUCACAUACACAUAACCACCCAACUUGCCCCAUCUCUUUCCUAUAGCUCCCCAACCUAUAUUGCUUUAAAGAGAGUCUCAUUAGUGUCAUAUGUAAGUAUUUUGAAUCUAAUUUUUUAAGGGUUGUUAGAUAAACAGGUCAGUUUGGUGGUUGUCAGGUUGAGGGAGAGUCCUGUUAGGUUUCUGUUGCUGUGAGAGACAUCAUACUGAAAGCAAGGAGGAGAGGAAAGGGCUCAUUUUACCUUACAGCUCAUAGUCCGUCUUGAAGUCCGUCAGAACUGGAGCUCAAGAAAGAUGCCUGGAGGCGGGAACUGAGGCAGAUGCCAUGGAGGAGCAGGACGUAUAGGCUCACUCCUGGCUUUUCUUUCUUAUACAUCCCAAGUCAACUACUGAGGGAUGGCACUGCCCAUAGUAGGCAGUCCUCUUCCACAUGAACCAAUCUGUCAAUCAAAGAGCUGCCCACAGGCUGGCCUACAGGCCAGUCUUAUGAGGGCAUUUGCUCAGUGGAGAGUCCUGUUCCCAGAUGGCCUUAGCUUGUGUCAAGUAGACAGAAGAAACAAACAAAAUAAAAUA